ACUAACCACUAUUGUUCUCUAACAUUUUGUAGUAAACAAAGCAAAUGAUAUCUCCAACUCAUGAAUCCUAGAAGACCAAUGCUUUUCAUGAUAAUAAUAGCUGAAGAAAACUCCUAGCAACAAAGAAAAUGAGGAAGCGAGCAAGGAUAAUGAUGUAAUACCUUCAGCUCCUAAGGGCGGCGAGGUACAUCCCAUGCCACCCAUUUCCUUAUGGAAUGGUAUGAUAUCUUUCAUAGACCCUUUUUAGAGGGCAAGGUUCCUUAAGAAAUCCUUCCUGCGGUAGAUCAGAUGAGGUUUAUUUGCCUGACUCACUGCUCCGCAACUAUGAGGAUAUUCAUACUUUUUACAUUCUCCGAUUGAAGUUUGACAAAGUUGUCAUUCCCUUUUCUCCAUUUUUAUUCACAUCAAUAGAUGGGUCAAGUGGGUUGAAGCCAUAAUUUGAGAUGCUUAGCAUAACCGAACCCUUAGAUAAGGCGGGCAUAUUGAAUGUCAUCAUAUUAAGCGGGGAACUGACUAUCCAUAAAGACUACUCGAGCAGGUGAUGUCAUUUUUUGCUGAGCUGCUAGAGCAAGGCAUCCCAUAGUUACAUCACUGCUCAAGGGAGUUUAGCAUCAUACUAGAAGAUGUCCAUUAGUUGCUUAGAUUGAGUGCAUGGUCAAGGCAGUAGGUGGAAUUAAGCGCUUUUUAAUGGGUUUGAUUAUGUUUAUUACCCUUGAGAAUCAGUAAUCUCUUAAUUGAAUACAAUCUAAUAGCUUUAAAAAGUGAUAUUUGUCAUUAGAUUAAAUUUGAAUCCCUAGUGUUUUUAACUAUUAAAAUUCCAUCCUUUUAAUUAAUAAUCUUUACAAUUUAAUUAUUUUAAUUUACAUAAAUUUUUAGUAAAUAUCAAUUGAUCUUGGAAUUAGUGAAGAUUUUAGCGACCAAUGUAUUUGCUCGGUUUUAGACUAGUUGGCUCCAUCCCAUCUUAAAAGUGGCACUCCAGGCUUUUCCAGGCUUUAUGAGUUAAUCGUAUUUUGUUUGUGGCCCAGCAAAUAGGUUACAUCAAGGUCGACCUGAGAGGACUGCUUACUCUUCUGAUACUAUGUUGAAUUAAAAGUGUUGCAAGGCCUUUUGCGUUAAAGCAAUUGACUCCUUUUAUUGUCACCACUUCAGCUCUCUUCCUUUCUAAAUAAGGGAGCUAUGUCACUCAAUACGUUGUAUGACUUGGUGGGUAUGACAAUUGUCCCUGUUCAAGGCCUACUCACGAGAACCAGUGUAAACCAUACCUAGAUGCCCAAUCAUUUCUUAGCAUCAUCCCUUUAUCAAGCUACUGAGCGAGGUCUACUUAAGAAGAUCAAGCGCUAUUAGUGCUACGGAUUGACCGCCUCCAUGGGUUGAUGGCUCUCCAGUUUCACCUAGUGCGUCAAUUGUUUCUACUAAAGAGACUAGCAAGACAACUACAGCUCCUAGGUUUGAGGAAGUCUCACCCUCGUCAUGUUAAGAAAAAGGCUAAGCAACCUCGAUCCAUGGAUGACCCUGAGGAUGAUGAUGACAUGCCAAAGUUGGAGGAUAGAGUAGGCGCCAAACAGAAUAUAGCUCUCGAGAUCCUCUUAUUAUUUAUUGGUUUUUUUUAUCUUGGGGAUGGAAAGGACUGUUCAGCUAUGGAGCAUGCAUAUAGAGCUGGAUAAUUUAUUGAAUGUACCAAAAGGACAUAGAUGACGACUCAUUGGCAAGGGAUAAGAUGAUAACACAAUGUUCCUUCUGGGAGGAGUUCGAAAACUUAGAUGCCUUUGACACUAUCCCCUCUCUUUGCAGUCCCUCCUUAGUUAAGGGUGAUCAUGCCUCAAGGUCUUUUCCCCAUUCAUGUGUAGCUGCUUAGGCCCUUUUAGAUUUUCGAGCUUAUUUUCCUUGAGUUCCUUCCUUAUA